rnacentral:rRNA from 1 species
UACGGAGGGUGCAAGCGUUAUCCGGAUUUGACUGGGUUUAAAGGGUGUGUAGGCGGACUUUUAAGGUCAGCGGUGAAAUCUCCGGGCUCAACCCGGAAACUGCCAUUGAUACUAUUGGUCUUGAAUGUUGUUGAGGUGGGCGGAACGGGUCAUGUAGCGGUGAAAUGCAUAGAUAUGACCCGGAACACCGAGUUGACGAAGGCAGCCCACUAAGCAAUGAUUGACGCUGAGG